rnacentral:rRNA from 1 species
AUUGAACGCUGGCGGCAGACCUAUCACAUGUAAGUGGAGGCGAAUCACAGAGUAGCUUGCUACUCUGAUGACGAGCGGCGGACGGGUGAGUAAUGCUUGGGAACAUGCCUUGAGGUGGGGGACAACAGUUGGAAACGACUGCUAAUACCGCAUAAUGUCUACGGACCAAAGGGGGCUUCGGCUCUCGCCUUUAGAUUGGCCCAAGUGGGAUUAGCUAGUUGGUGAGGUAAUGGCUCACCAAGGCGACGAUCCCUAGCUGGUUUGAGAGGAUGAUCAGCCACACUGGGACUGAGACACGGCCCAGACUCCUACGGGAGGCAGCAGUGGGGAAUAUUGCACAAUGGGCGCAAGCCUGAUGCAGCCAUGCCGCGUGUGUGAAGAAGGCCUUCGGGUUGUAAAGCACUUUCAGUCAGGAGGAAAGGUUAGUAGUUAAUACCUGCUAGCUGUGACGUUACUGACAGAAGAAGCACCGGCUAACUCCGUGCCAGCAGCCGCGGUAAUACGGAGGGUGCGAGCGUUAAUCGGAAUUACUGGGCGUAAAGCGUACGCAGGCGGUUUGUUAAGCGAGAUGUGAAAGCCCCGGGCUCAACCUGGGAACUGCAUUUCGAACUGGCAAACUAGAGUGUGAUAGAGGGUGGUAGAAUUUCAGGUGUAGCGGUGAAAUGCGUAGAGAUCUGAAGGAAUACCGAUGGCGAAGGCAGCCACCUGGGUCAACACUGACGCUCAGAC